AUGGCGGUGAUGCAGGAGAUGAUAAAGAAGGAAGUGAGGAGUUAUAUGACCGGGUUAAAGGAGCAAACUGGAGCUGGGUCUGGGAUUUGUAUGGGUAUGAACAUGGGUAUGGGUAUGAGAGGUGAAGAUGGGUUUAGGGAAGUGGUUGUGAAGAGAAUCGGAAUGGAGAACACAAAAAAGCAAGGAAAUCUGACAAACCCUUUAAUUUUGCAGAGUGAGGAGUUAUAUGAGUACAUCCUGGCCACUAGUGUGUACCCACGAGAACCAGAGCCUCUUAAGGAGCUGAGGAAAGCUACUGCAACCCAACCAUUGGCAUACUUUGGUACAUCACCAGAUGCAGGUCAGCUAAUUGCCAUGUUCUUGAAGAUAGUGAAUGCAAAGAAGACAAUUGAAAUUGGGGUCUUUACAGGAUACUCUCUUCUCCUCACGGCCCUUACAAUUCCUGAUGAUGGCAAGAUUACAGCCAUAGAUGUUGAUCGAACAAAAUAUGAGAUAGGAUUGCCAAUUAUACAAAAAGCGGGGUUGAGCACAAAAUUAACUUUAUCGAGUCACGAGCUUUACCAAUUCUUAAUGAACUGCUACAAGAUCCAAAGAAUGAAGGGAGUUUUGACUUUGCUUUUGUUGAUGCUGACAAAGUUAAUUAUUGGAAUUACCAUGAGAGGAUGAUGAGAUUGGUUAAUGUUGGAGGGAUAAUUAUCUACGAUAACACACUGUGGGGAGGAUAUGUUGCUUUGCCUGAAGAGGAUGUUCCAGAAAAGAAAAGAGCUGGGAGGCAAUCUACCAUUGAGUUCAAUAACUCCAUCUCUGCUGACCCUCGUGUUGAAAUAUCUCAUGCUUCAGUGGGUGAUGGCGUCCUGAUCUGCAGGUGAAUUUGCUAAAUAUUCACUCAGUUGUGACUAAAAAUGUGUGCAGACAAGGCUUUCUGUGAACCAGUUGAAAUCAGAAAUAAAAACUGGACCAUGAUUUGUCAUCAGUCUUUGUUCAAUAACAACUGCUAAAGAAUUGGACUAUUUUGUAAGAGACUUUGAAUAUACUCUGGUUAAUU